rnacentral:rRNA from 1 species
UACGUAGGGUGCGAGCGUUGUCCGGAAUUAUUGGGCGUAAAGGGCUCGUAGGCGGUUUGUCGCGUCGGGAGUGAAAACCUUGGGCUUAACUCAGGGCUUGCUUUCGAUACGGGCAGACUAGAGGUAUGCAGGGGAGAACGGAAUUCCUGGUGUAGCGGUGAAAUGCGCAGAUAUCAGGAGGAACACCAAUGGCGAAGGCAGCUCGCUGGAACGGUACUGACGCUGAGGCGCGAAAGCGUGGGGGGCGAACAGG